rnacentral:rRNA from 1 species
GAGCGGUAGAGAGAAGCUUGCUUCUCUUGAGAGCGGCGGACGGGUGAGUAAUGCCUAGGAAUCUGCCUGGUAGUGGGGGAUAACGUUCGGAAACGGACGCUAAUACCGCAUACGUCCUACGGGAGAAAGCAGGGGACCUUCGGGCCUUGCGCUAUCAGAUGAGCCUAGGUCGGAUUAGCUAGUUGGUGGGGUAAUGGCUCACCGAGGCGAUGAUCCGUAACUGGUCUGAGAGGAUGAUCAGUCACACUGGAACUGAGACACGGUCUAGACUCCUACGGGAGGCAGCAGUGGGGAAUAUUGGACAAUGGGCGAAAGCCUGAUCCAGCCAUGCCGCGUGUGUGAAGAAGGUCUUCGGAUUGUAAAGCACUUUAAGUUGGGAGGAAGGGUUGUAGAUUAAUACUCUGCAAUUUUGACGUUACCGACAGAAUAAGCACCGGCUAACUCUGUG